CACACGUUUUUUUUUAGACAAAGUUUAUCCCAGUACACGUGACACGCCCAUGGCGGAGGAGGGAGGAGGAGCCGGCGAAGGAGGCGGACAAGACUCCGGCCGGGGGGAGAGAGAGCCCAAGGCGGAGAAGAGGCCCUCCACGGAGGAGGAUCUCUCGGGGAAGGGGCGGGAGCGGGAGCUUGGUUUCCAUCCCCUCCGAGGCAACAUGCCCAUCUCGAACUCCUCCAUCAACGCCACCUUCGAGGAGCUCGCCAGGAAUGCCACCUCGGAUCAGAGGGCGUCGGGGCCCUCGCAACCAAGUUCAACUCCUCUUAGGUUUCAUUCAAUUUCAUUGAGCAGAGGUAGUUAGUGUUGUUAAUUGCUAUCGAAAUCCACUUAGGUUACCUGGACUAGAAUAGCAGCAGCACUGUGGCAGGGGCUAAUUGGAAUGGAUGGGUGAUGGUUACUGUUUAGUGGGGUAGUUGUAAAGGGGAAUUACUAGGUGCUGCUAUCUGGAAUAAAUAGUGGUCUCUGUUAUGUGAUUUAUUUUCUUGCUAGAUGGAGAUUGUGGGGAAAUCCAUGUGAGUGUGGAAUUCCAGAUUGGAGCAGACCUGCUAAGCCUGUUAUUCAGUUCUGAUGAAUCGGAGUGUGAAAUUUCAGGUGCUGUGUGGUGCUACUUUCAGUAAACUGGGGUUGUGAAAUAGUAAUGUUGCUUUUAGCUUAGUACUAUAUAUACUAUCUGGCUGACCCUUUUUAUGCCAUUUUUCAUGUCUGGCGUCAUAAUUUGUAUUUGAUUGACAGGAAUUUUUUUAUGGUUGUACAUUUGUGUCGUCCUGUAGAUAUUAGCUUUAAGCUGGACAACAACAAAUGGGCUCUGUGUCCUUGCAAAGUACUUGGGGUCAUCUCACAAUCUUGGAUAUGCCGAUUCUGAAGAUGGAAAUCAAGCAUUCCUUGAUUCUGUUACUUGCAAUACUAGCAUUUAGUUCUGGGUGUAGCCAAAUUGUUGAAUCAGAUAUCUCUAAUGUUUUGUCGCCGAGAGCAUCGUCAGCAAACUUGUGCAGAUUCAGUGAGUCUUUGAACAUGUCAUCCGUUGGGUUCCUUCCAGUAAACAUCUCAAGCAACAAUAUGCCAAGACUAAACACAUCACCAGCAGUCGAGACAGCAGAGCCUUCCCCGUACUCUGCAAUAUAUUUGAAACAAGAAUUGAUGACAAAGUACAUCAAUGAUGUGGAGCAAAAAGAGUACAAGAAUUUCAGUUACCUGGAGCAACAUAUCCAAUGCUACCUCUUAUCCCAAUUGUGCUAUUUGAAUUAUUUUGAUUGCCAAUUCUGCUUUCGCCAAGUACUUUUGAGAUGCCAAAAUCUCCAACACGGGCGCUCAUGUCCUCUGCAAGAAGAAUAUUCCUUGGCUUGAGGUCACAAUGGAUGAUUGAUGGUUCACACUUCACAGUGGUUAUGAAGAUAUUCAACUGCGUCAGCAACAUCAACAACAAUGUCUAGCCUCUGAGCUAGGCUGAGCGUAUUACUUAAAGUGAGUUCUUCAGAUUUUGGAUGAAGCCAAUCUUCCAAACUACCAUUAGGCAUGAACUCAAAAACUAGUGCCUUGAACUCUUGCCCUUGGGGGUCUAUGCUCGAGCAACAAGUGAUAAUAUUUAAAAGGCAACGAUGACGCACUAGCCUCAACGCCUCACACUCGAUGUCAAAGCUCCUGGAAGAUCCUGAUUGUUGAAGGUUAAAAACCUUUACAGCCACGGUUGUACUUGUAUCUUCGUCAUCCAUAAUGCACUUGUAUACAACACCGUAUCUUCCUUUCCCAAGCAAGUUCUCUUCUGAAAAGCCAUUAGUUCCUGCUGACAAUGCAUGGUAAGAGACUCUCUGAUAUUUCUCCCCGAUAAGCAUCGGCGGCAAUUGGCCCUUCUGUCCUCGUGUCGUCUUCUUGCAGAAAAUGUGAGUAAGGAAGACCACUGAAAUGAUCAACAAUAUUGGUCCUGUUGUUGCAAGAGCUAUUGUAAUUGAUUUUGACCACUUUCUUUUAUUUUUGCCUGUUUGGUUGGUGGAGCAUGGAGCCAAGUGAAGCUGAGGUUGUUGAAGGACACAUCCAUUUUCGACAGCAAGGUCAAAUCCUGAAUAACUGCCGGGAUUGGCCCUGAGAAGUUGUUUCGUGCCAGAUACAAUUGUUCUAGGUCGUGCAUGCUUCCAAGCGUAUCAGGUAUCGCACCAGACAACUUGUUCAUUGUCAGGUUCAAGACACGGAGCCCUUUUAUAUUCCCAAAAGACUGAGGCAUGCUUCCUUCGAAAGAGUUCCUGUCCAGCAACAGGAAUUCCAACACUAUGCAGUUUCCUAUACUAUCAGGUAUCUCACCGGACAAAUGGUUUCCUGGCAGAAUAAGCUUGUUGAGAUUGUGCAGUCGACCAACCUCUGAAGGAAGAGGUCCAGAUAAUGAGUUGUAUGACAGAUCCAACUGAGAAGAAAGGGAAGUCAACCCCAGUAUCUCCUUAGGAAUCGAGCCAUUCAGUUUGUAAUUCAUGGACAGAUCAAGAAUUUGAAGAUUUUCCAGUGUUCCAAGGUUUGCCGGAAUAGGCCCUUCUAGGCUAUUGUUGGGCGCAAGUAGCCAUUCCAGCUGUGUGAGAUUACCAAUAGAAGGGGGUAUGAGGCCUGAAAAGCUAUUAUUAUCCCAGUACAGCUGAACUAAGUUCACUAAUUUCCCAAUGCUCUCUGGUAUCCCUCCAGACAUGAAGGUAUGCCCUAUCUCGAGUAUGCUAAGGCCUACAAGAUUGCCAACAUCUGAGGGGAUAUGUCCAGAGAUGUUAUUGUAACCUAAGUAAAGGGAAUCGAGAGUUGUCGAGAGGUUCGCUAUUGAACUUGGCAGUCGUCCACUGAAAGAGUUGUUGCCGAUAAGUAGGAUUCUCAGCUGACUGCAGUUUGCCAUUGAAGUGAUGAACUCCGAACCCUCUCUGUCAUUUGCUUCAACAUUUGUCUCAUGCAGGAACAAAAUACGAGAUGUUGCAGCCUCCCCAGACGAGGAGGCACAAAUCCACUAAAUCUGUUCUGUGAGAGCCAUAACCCUUCCAGUGUAGUGAGAUUGGAUAUUGAAGAAGGAAUGGCUCCGCUGAACUGGUUAUCAUCAAGGCUAAAUUCUUGUAUCAUGGGAAAUCUGUCUCCUAUAUCGGCAGGAAUGUUGCCAUGCAGCUUGUUCCCACCAACGGCAAAGUUUGUCAGUGAUGACAAGUUGUACAAGGAGGGUGGAAUCACACCGGAGAGUCUGUUGUCCUCAAAGUUGAGGAAUUGCAGGCCUGCGAGUUUGCCAAGGCUGUCCAGGAUGGGGCCAUGGAGCAGGUUGCGCUUGAGAGAUACAGCAUGCAGUGAUGACAGGUUAGCCAGAGACGCUGGAAUAAACCCGGUGAAGGUGUUUUCCAUCAGUGAGAGUCCCUGUAGGUGUGUCAGAGUAUCGCCAAUAUCAACUGGGAUGUGACCGUUGAGCUGAUUGUAGUGGAGAAUGAGGGUUGUCAAGCCGGUGCAGAAGCUAAGGUUGGCAGGAACUAUACCAGAGAACAUGUUGUUCCCCAUGUCAAGGCUCUGCAAUUGUCGAAGGCUGCCGAUGCUUGGUGGCAUCUCACCGUAGAGCUCGUUGGAGCUCAGGUUUAGCCUCUGCAAGAAGGUGAGGUUUCCUAUGGCCGGAGAGAUGGUACCAGCGAGUCCGCGGAAGGGCAGGCUCAGCGCGACCACCUGCGUCGGCCUCCUGCGCUUGCAUGUCACGCCCUCCCAGCUGCAGAAGUCGGCGCUGCUGUUCCAAGAGGCAAGCAUACUGGAGUUGCUGAGCCUGACCUUGAAAGCAACCAGCGCGGCCUCAUCGCUUGCAGCGGCGAUCACCAGGAUGGAGAAGAAGGAAGCUAAUAGCAAGCUCAUCUCACACGCUGCCAUGUCUUUUCCUGAAUUAGUUGAGUAUGUGAAUAGAGGCAACGUCUGGCAUCUGCAUAGUACUACCAUGCUUCAUGCCUGUGUUGUGUGGAUACAGUCUGAACAUGUUUGCAUUUGGUCAAUGAACUAAUCAAGUGUGAUGUUACAGCA